GGCAAAACUGUGAAGGUAUACUGUUGGC
rnacentral:piRNA from 1 species